UUCUUUGGGCAAAUUUCAUCCUAAAGGGUGUGUCGUUUACUGUUGCUUUUCUGUCUACCUUCUAUCUUAAGGGACAAGUCUCGCACCCCAUCUUCUGAUAUUUUAGAAAGAAACCAUUUCCUUGCCCCUUUCCCAGUUUUCUUGUCAGUAUAUACAAUCAGUAAUUGUAAAGUCAAAAUAAACUCAAAAAGCCUCAUACAUGAAACCCAAAAAAACUCAUGAGAAACCCCCACUGAAAAGUUCAAUAAUCAUUUCUUUGCAAAUCCUCAAUGCAUUUAGAGGGGGAAAAAAAGGCCUAUAUGGCAAGGGAGCAGGAGUACCUCU
rnacentral:lncRNA from 1 species